rnacentral:rRNA from 1 species
UGGGGAAUUUUGCACAAUGGGGGAAACCCUGAUGCAGCGACGCCGCGUGAUUUAGAAGGCCUUCGGGUUGUAAAAAUCUUUUUUAUGGGAUGAAAAUGACAGUACCAUAAGAAUAAGGUCCGGCUAAAUACGUGCCAGCAGCCGCGGUAAUACGUAUGGACCGAGCGUUGUCCGGAAUCAUUGGGCGUAAAGGGUACGUAGGCGGCCCAGUAAGUUAGAAGUGAAAUAAUAUAGCUCAACUAUAUAAAGCUUUUAAAACUGCUAGGCUUGAGAGAUGGAAGGGAAAGUGGAAUUCCUAGUGUAGCGGUGAAAUGCGCAGAUAUUAGGAAGAAUACCGGUGGCGAAGGCGACUUUCUGGUCAUCAUCUGACGCUGGGGUACGAAAGCGUGGGUAGCAAACAGG